UACGAAGGGGGCUAGCGUUGUUCGGAUUUACUGGGCGUAAAGCGCACGUAGGCGGAUCGUUAAGUCGGGGGUGAAAUCCUGGAGCUCAACUCCAGAACUGCCUUCGAUACUGGCGAUCUCGAGUCCGGAAGAGGUGAGUGGAACUCCUAGUGUAGAGGUGGAAUUCGUAGAUAUUAGGAAGAACACUAGUGGCGAAGGCGACUCACUGGUCCGGUACUGACGCUGAGGUGCGAAAGCGUGGGGAGCAAACAGG
rnacentral:rRNA from 1 species